UGCCAGCAGCCGCGGUAAGACGGAGGGUGCAAACGUUGUUCGGAAUCACUGGGCAUAAAGCGCACGUAGGCGGCUCAUCCAGUCUGAUGUGAAAGCCCUCGGCUCAACCGGGGAACUGCAUUGGAUACUAAUGGGCUCGAGGAUGGUUGGGGUAAGCGGAACUCCAGGUGGAGCGGUGAAAUGCGUAGAUAUCUGGAGGAACACCGGUGGCGAAAGCGGCUUACUGGGCCAUAUCUGACGCUGAGGUGCGAAAGCGAGGGUAGCAAACGGGAUUAGAUA
rnacentral:rRNA from 1 species